rnacentral:rRNA from 1 species
UAAAGUUGUUGCAGUUAAAAAGCUAGUAGUUGAAUUUUGGGUCUGGCCGGGCGGUCCACCUUCCGGUUGAGCACUGUUCCGACGCCGGGCCUAUCCUUCUGGUGAGACGGCAUGCCCUUCGCUGGGUGUGUCGGGGAACCAGGACCAUUACCUUGAAAAAAUUAGAGUGUUCAAAGCAGGCGUUUGCUCGAAUACAUUAGCAUGGAAUAAUGAAAUAGGACGCGUGGUACUAUUUUGUUGGUUUCUAGGACCGACGUAAUGAUUAAUAGGG